rnacentral:lncRNA from 1 species
AAGAGAAAUUCAAGUAAUGUCAUUCCAACACAUAUGGUGAUGUCCAUAAAAAAUGCAAGAUUCAAGCCUCAACCAUCUAUCCCCAUGCAAUCCUUUGUCACAAUGAGAUUCACACUUUUUCAAUUGGUAUUAAGUGAUUUAAUUGGUAUCACAUACCUUUUAUGGAAAUUGAUGACAAAGGGGGAGAAGUUGGAACAAAGAUAUGUUCAUGGGAUAAGUUGGACAACAAAAUAUAUGUUUCAAGGGGGA